rnacentral:rRNA from 1 species
UACGAGGGGGGGCAAGCGUUGUUCGGAUUUACUGGGCGUAAAGCGCACGUAGGCGGAUUGUUAAGUCGGGGGUGAAAUCCCAGGGCUCAACCCUGGAACUGCCUUCGAUACUGGCAAUCUUGAGUCCGGAAGAGGUGAGUGGAACUCCUAGUGUAGAGGUGGAAUUCGUAGAUAUUAGGAAGAACACCAGUGGCGAAGGCGGCUCACUGGUCCGGUACUGACGCUGAGGUGCGAAAGCGUGGGGAGCAAACAGGG